GAUGAACGCUGGCGGGAGGCCUAACACAUGCAAGCCGAGCGGUAUUUAUUCUUCGGAAUAGAGAGAGCGGCGUACGGGUGCGUAACACGUGUGCAACCUGCCUUUAUCUGGGAGAUAGCCCUCCGAAAGGGGGAUUAAUAUUCCAUAAUAUAUUAAUUGGCAUCAAUUGAUAUUGAAAGCUGCGGCGGAUAGAGAUGGGCACGCGCAAGAUUAGAUAGUUGGUGAGGUAACGGCUCACCAAGUCUGCGAUCUUUAGGGGGCCUGAGAGGGUGAUCCCCCACACUGGUACUGAGACACGGACCAG
rnacentral:rRNA from 1 species